rnacentral:rRNA from 1 species
GAUGAACGCUGGCGGCGUGCUUAACACAUGCAAGUCGAACGGUGAAGGCGGAGCUUGCUCUGCUGGAUCAGUGGCGAACGGGUGAGUAACACGUGAGCAAUCUGCCCCUGAGUCUGGGAUAAGCGCUGGAAACGGCGUCUAAUACUGGAUACGAGCUGCGGAGGCAUCUUCAGCAGCUGGAAAGAACUUCGGUCAGGGAUGAGCUCGCGGCCUAUCAGCUUGUUGGUGAGGUAACGGCCCACCAAGGCGUCGACGGGUAGCCGGCCUGAGAGGGUGACCGGCCACACUGGGACUGCGACACGGCCCAGACUGCUACGGGAGGCAGCAGUGGGGAAUAUUGCACAAUGGGCGAAAGCCUGAUGCAGCAACGCCGCGUGAGGGACGACGGCCUGCGGGUUGUAAACCUCUUUUGGCAGGGAAGAAGCGAAAGUGACGGUACCUGCAGAAAAAGCGCCGGCUAACUACGUG